GGGAGUUUGGCCGAGUGGUUAAGGCGUCGUGUUUAGGUAAAUCGGACUUCCGGUCUGAUUACUUCAAAUCCCGCGAUGGGAAACCGCGCAGGUUCGAAUCCUGCAGCUCUCA